rnacentral:tRNA from 1 species
GGGUAUGGUUCAGUGGUAGAGUGCUCAUGUAACAUGCAUGAGGUCCUGGGUUCAAUUCCCAGUACCUCCA